rnacentral:rRNA from 1 species
CAAGUCGAACGCGAAAGCCCCGAAAGGGGCAAGUAGAGUGGCAAACGGGUGAGUAACACGUGGGUGACCUGCCUUCGAGCGGGGGAUAACGUCCCGAAAGGGACGCUAAUACCGCAUAACAUCCUGCCUUUGAAGAGGCGGAGAUCAAAGCUGGGGAUCGCAAGACCCGGCACUUGAAGAGGGGCCCGCGUCUGAUUAGCUAGUUGGUGGGGCAACGGCCUACCAAGGCAACGAUCAGUAUCCGGCCUGAGAGGGCGGACGGACACACUGGGACUGAGACACGGCCCAGACUCCUACGGGAGGCAGCAGUGGGGAAUUGUUCGCAAUGGGCGCAAGCCUGACGACGCAACGCCGCGUGGAGGAUGAAGAUUUUCGGAUCGUAAACUCCUGUCGAAUGGGACGAACAGAUUGCGGGUUAACAGCCCGUAGUCCUGACGGUACCGUUAAAGGAAACCCCGGCUAACUCCGUGCCAGCAGCCGCGGUAAUACGGGGGGGGUAAGCGUUGUUCGGAAUUACUGGGCGUAAAGGGCUCGUAGGCGGCCAACUAAGUCAUACGUGAAAUCCCUCAGCUUAACUGGGGAACUGCGUGUGAUACUGGAUGGCUUGGAUUUGGGAGAGGGAUGCGGAAUUCCAGGUGUAGCGGUGAAAUGCGUAGAUAUCUGGAGGAACACCGGUGGCGAAGGCGGCAUCCUGGACCAAUAUUGACGCUGAGGAGCGAAAGCUAGGGGAGCAAACGGGAUUAGAUACCCCGGUAGUCCUAGCCCUAAACGAUGAAUGCUUGGUGUAGCGGGUAUCGAUCCCUGCUGUGCCGAAGCUAACGCAUUAAGCAUUCCGCC